UACGUAGGGUGCGAGCGUUGUCCGGAAUUAUUGGGCGUAAAGGGCUCGUAGGCGGUCUGUUGCGUCAGGAGUGAAAAACUCGGGGGCUUAACCCCCGAGCCUGCUUCUGAUACGGGCAGACUAGAGGUAUGCAGGGGGAGAACGGAAUUCCUGGUGUAGCGGUGAAAUGCGCAGAUAUCAGGAGGAACACCGGUGGCGAAAGGCGGUUCUCUGGGCAUUACCUGACGCUGAGGAGCGAAAGUGUGGGGGAGCGAACAGG
rnacentral:rRNA from 1 species